UCGGCCCCUAACCAUCGUCGAAGUUCUUCAUCUCUUCAUUUCACCGGCGACCAAAACCUUCGAACGUUACGGAAUCAGUCUGGAUUGAAGCGUCAUCUUUAAAGCGCUCUCAGUAACAAUAACAUCUCCAAUGACUUCCUCCCUCUGGAUCUUCAACUAUAAAAAGGAAAGAACUUUGGAGUGGAGAUUUGACAAGAGAAUUGAGUGGCAACACGACAGAGAGUCAAGAUACAGAUGUUAACUAAACUGAAUGUGAUUUUUAUGUUCAUACUUCUUUGAAUUUAGUUUAUGUUCAUUUAAUGUUUUCUUCUGAUUUAGAUUCCCAGGCUGGAAAAAUGGAUCUGAGAGCGAGUGGAUCCACAUGGAGAUCAAAAUCCAAAUCAGAAGCCAAGGAUUCUUAUGAAUAAAGAUAAGAAGAGAUGCGAGAGACGUGACCAACAGUUUCUCCAACAAAAGCCAAAGAUAUCAAAUAAUUACGCGGAGGAGGACAUGUCCAUGAAGCUACAUUAGAGAAGAUAUGUGGAAAAAUAUCAAGGAAAUAAAAUUACAAGAAGCGAAACUAAAGGCUGGCCAGUAGAAGAAAUCCCACUCUAAACAGGUUGGAACAAAAAAAAA